CUAUAAUAUAGUAUAUGUACAAAUAUAUGGUAUAUAUAUAAAAUAUAUAUAUGAAACUUUCAUAUAUAUACUAUAUAUAUGAAAUACUUUUAAUUUUGAGAUGGAUAAUUUAUAAAAAGUAAUUUGUUCAACUACAGUUGGCUCUUUAAAUAGCACAGGGUUUAGGGGCACCAACUCAGUCCCACUACCUCUAGUUGAAAAUCUGCAUAUAACUUGUAAGUCCUAAAAAGCUUAACUACUACUAUUAGCCUACUAACUGGAAGCCUUCUAGAUAACAUAAACAGUUGAUUGAAAUAUUUUGUAUGUUAGAUGUAUUAGGUAUUAUAUUAUUACAAUAAGGUAAGAUAGAGAUAAAGAAAAUGUUAUUAAGAAAAUCCUAAGGAAAACACAUUUACAAUACUAUACUAUAUUUACUGAAUAAACCUAUAUAAGUGGACCCAUGCAGUUCAAAACUGCGUUGUUCCAGAGUCAAUUAUAUUUCACCUAAUUUAAAUUAAAUUCACCUAAUUUAUUUAACUGUUUAAUUAAGGGAAGGUAAUCAUAGCCUGAUGUUUCAUUAUUGUAACAUUGCUUUUGUUUUAGUAAAUCUUUUGAUUAACUAGAUCUUUGAAAACAGAUCUUUAGAGUUUGUGUUGCUGAGACCCAGGUCACCUUGAGGUGUUAUGAAGAUUUGGUGGCAAAAUAGAUAUAGUAGCUAUCAAUAUAGUGGUUAAUCUGGGCACUCCAUGACCUCUAACCUAAUAAGCUAGAAUGUUAGUGAUGUCACAGUCUAAGUUUCCCAUCUACUAUAAGUGGGCCAAUUAGCAGUGAACAGCAGCACCCUGUUCCAGGGCUAGAUAUGAACUUACAAAUGGUAUAUGGAUGCAAAACUGACACUUAGCUUUCCUUUCAUGUUGAAUUACCGAUCAGUGUGCUCAUCAUGUUCUAGUCAGAGAAAACAAAUAACUUUAUAUCCUGAGAUAAAAACAAAACAAAGCGCGAUAAAGCAAAUGAGUAUGAAAGUGUAUCUUGUCUCUCUUCUUCCUGCUACCAUAUUCCAUUGACCAAAUCUUUUCUUUUAUACUCUCAAGAUCAUUAACAUUUACAAUCUAUCUAGCAACCAAAACCAAUCAACUUCCCAUACCCCUGGUGUGGAAGGUCCAAAUGUUUUGAGUUGGUGAAUAGAUUUUAUAAGUAGGUUUGGUUGAAAAAGCUAUGGAGAACUGGGAGUCCUAGUAUACCAGAGUAUUGGCAGAAAAAUAAACACAUAGAUCAACAGAACAGAAUAGAGAGCCCAGAAAUAAACCCAUAAUAUUAUAGCCAAUUAAUCUUCAGCAAAGGAGGAAAG
rnacentral:lncRNA from 1 species